GGGGUUUGGGAGGUAAUUUGGACCUCCGCCUGCCUCCCUUCCCUCGCUGCCUCCCGGAAUUUGACCAAUCCCGUGAGGAGGAGCCGUGGGCGGGGCGGGCUCGGCUCCCGGAGCGGCGUGAAAAAUUUCCCGAGGCAGAGCGAAAAGUCUUCAUGCGUUACUGAGCAUGUCCGGUGCCCGAAGAGGCGCUUUGGAUGCCAAUGAAGCGAGGAGAGGCGGAGAAGGAACCGAGCGGGCAGUUGAGGGAAAUCUCGGAGGAGGUUACCUGCGAUCAAACUGGGGCUGCGUAGUGUUAGGGUCAGGCAGCGUUGAAGUGGAAUCCGGAUCCGCCACUCUCGCUGCGUGAUAUUGGGCAUGCCAUCAAAGCGCUCUCAACCGAACGUCUCGGGUAAAAUGGGAUUAGUGAAGUCUACUAAGGUAGUUGUGAGGAUCAAAAGAGAUAACGCGGAAAACGCCUCACCUGGCACGUUAUAGAUCCUAAAUGCCUAGCUACCACAACCUCCAUAUUUUACAACUGGGAACACGGGACUCAAAGAGAUUAAAAAACUAAAUGACUCACUCAAGGUCAGGUAGUGGUGGAGACCCAGGCUUCAAGUUCAAUACUCUUUGUCCUACGAAGCCUUCCCUUAAGCAGGGGUAACAAAACAUUUCAGAAAAACCACCUUAAAGAGCAUCGCUUGUGAUAUGUGGAUCACUUGGUAGUCCCCACCUCCCUCCCAUCCCCGCAAAGGUUUAGAGCUGGACAUAAGGGCCUUGGUGCAACUUUUGGAGGGCAGUUGUUCAGCUUCUGAAUUUGCAUCUGAACGAGCAAUAAGGUGGGGUGCUUUCCUCAAUUCCCUUGGGGCCCCUACAUUUUGGUUAAGGUGUAAACAGCAAGGAGCUCCAGGUCCUCCACGUCUCUAACUAGCUGAAGAAAGAUUAACUCAAUUAACCAGCAUUUACCCAGCAUCCAUCAAGUCGUAAGGUUUUCCUAGCAGGCAAGGAGCCUGUGACCUCAGGGCUGUGCAGGCAGGCACCUUGGGAUUCAGACACACUUAGACUUCCAGCCCAUUCGUCUAAUUUAGCUCUUAAUCACUUACUGCCAGGCAGUAUUUCUUGAAUGUUGUAGUACUAUGUAAUUUCAGCUAUGCUGUUAACUUUUUAAAAAAGUAUGUGUCUAUCUCCCUGUCUUGUAGCCCCAAACGUAUACUUGAUCUUGGUAAAGGAUGUCACCCAGUAUCUUAAAUAAGCCGUGAAGUUUCCCAUGUCCCAGGAAUUAUUCACUUGACCCUCCCGAGUUAAAUGUAGUGUCUUCCAAAAAAUCUUGGUGGUCUACUUCUUUGGAAUACAUUAGUAUCUCUUCUACAGCAUUUGGCAGCUACCUUGCUUUAAACACUGUUUCUAGUUUUGUGUUCUACUAUUUAUGCAUAUUAUCACCUACAAAAAGUUUCUCUAACAUUCAUGUAUGAGUUGGCUGUUCAUAUGGAUCAAUAUAUCACUUAUUACCCAAUCCUUUAAGGCUUGAUUUAUUUUCCUUUCCCUUCAGAUUGUAAAACUCUUGAAUGGCAGGAACCCUGUCUAGUUCCACAUCGAAUUUCCAGCCUGUUCCUCAGUAACAACACCACUCAACAACUAGCUGUUGAAUGGCUGAGUGAGCUCCCUGCCUAUCUUAUAAAAUUAUUAGGGGCAUACUUUAUUUUUAUAUUUAUAUCUCAAAACCAGGAAUUUUCUGGGAAGUUAAGAAUUUCCAAUAAAUCUUGGACUACUCUAAAAUGCACCAGAAAUUACAUGGUCACACUCGUGCAAUGAAAGAAGGCUUUGGCAGUAGCAUAAGACAUUAAGCAGAAGUAGGAAAUGCAGUGAGGAAGAAGUUGUAAUGUUUUCAACAGCUGCCACUGUGGAUCUAGGAUGAGAGCUUUCCACAUGUUGUUAAGAAUGAGAGACAGAUUACUCCAAGGUAGGAACAUUUCUCAGAGGUUUUUCAUCAUGGAUAUUUGAAAAUGCUGAUGUAAAGAGACACAUCUCAAUUUCAAUGCUGUCACAGCCAUGUUGUCCUUCUUUGGAGAGUCUUCGAACUAGAGUAAGCCAUGGAAGCUUGAUAAUAUACAAUGUGGUUGCCUAUGAUGACUCACUGACCUGUCCAGAUUUGUAAUCUGCACAUUUUAAUGUAAAUUGAGUAGUUGAUUUAAAGACAUAAAUUAUUUUAAAAACCAGUAGACUAUAUUACAACAACAACAACAACAACAACAACGACAACCUAGGAUUUCAGCAUUUUCAAACUUCAAAGAAUACUGAAAACUGGCUUAGACUCUUGUUCUGGGGAUGCUCAGCUAUGCAGAGGAGAUGCUGAGAUUUCUGGCAGCCAUCUUGUCUACUACAUAGUUAGACCUUAUAUGGAGAAUGAAGCCAAGGAAAACCAAGAAAGACACAAUCCUGAUAGAUGUCUAGGAGUCCCCAGACCCAAUGUAAAUGGAGCCAAAUUAAGACAAGCAGAGCAGAGAGAUCAGAGGGAGACAUCCCUGAUAAUUCCACUGGAAGUCCAAAUCCAGCCAUGCUUGAAGUUAUUGCAUCCCUGCUUUUCCCAUUUUCCCAGUUUUCUGAGAAAUAAAUUCCCCUUUCCUCUCUUG